CCUACGGGUGGCAGCAGUGAGGAAUAUUGGUCAAUGGGCGUAAGCCUGAACCAGCCAAGUCGCGUGAGGGAUGAAGGUUCUAUGGAUCGUAAACCUCUUUUAUAAGGGAAUAAAGUGUGGGAUGAGUCCUGUUUUGUAUGUACCUUAUGAAUAAGGAUCGGCUAACUCCGUGCCAGCAGACGCGGUAAUACGGAGGAUCCGAGCGUUAUCCGGAUUUAUUGGGUUUAAAGGGUACGUAGGCGGCCUUUUAAGUCAGCGGUGAAAGUCUGUGGCUCAACCUUAGAAUUGCCGUUGAUACUGGCAGGCUUGAGUAUGUUUGAGGCGGGCAGAAUGCGAGGUGUAGCGGUGAAAUGCUUAGAGAUCACGCAGAACCCCGAUUGCGAAGGCAGCCUGC
rnacentral:rRNA from 1 species